rnacentral:rRNA from 1 species
ACGGAAGGCAGCAGUGGGGAAUAUUGGUCAAUGGACGGAAGUCUGAACCAGCCAAGUCGCGUGAAGGAAGACGGUUCUAUGGAUUGUAAACUUCUUUUGCCCGAGGGUAAAAUCAGGUACGUGUACCCGUUUGCAAGUAUCGGGUGAAUAAGCAUCGGCUAACUCCGUGCCAGCAGCCGCGGUAAUACGGAGGAUGCGAGCGUUAUCCGGAUUUAUUGGGUUUAAAGGGUGCGUAGGCGGGCUGUUAAGUCAGCGGUGAAAGUUUGCGGCUCAACCGUAAAAUUGCCGUUGAAACUGGCGGUCUUGAGUGUAAACGAGGUAAGCGGAAUGUGACGUGUAGCGGUGAAAUGCUUAGAUAUGUCCCAGAACUCCGAUUGCGAAGGCAGCUUACCAGCAUACAACUGACGCUGAGGCACGAAAGCGUGGGGAGCAAACAGGAUUAGAUACCCUGGUA